AGAGAGACGGAGCAGAGCCGAUGCUAAGCUAUGAAGAGAGAAACAAAAUUUUGAGAGAUUAAAACGUUUUUAUGUUUCCUGUCUGAAGAACGGUGUGUGAUCCCACAGCGUCGAGGCUGAGAACAAGAACGAGAAAAAUGAAACGUUUGGCGAAGUUUAGGCGGAGGUGGAAGUAGAUGGCUGGAGAUGUGAUGGUGAAACCCCUGGGCCGAGCUCCUUUGAGGGAGAAACGGGAGAUUAGACUGGAGAUGCUGACAUCUUUGCAGAUGAUUGAUUCACCCCGUCUGGCCGGAGUGGAGAGGAUGGAUCCUCCCUGGGGCGAAGGCUCCAGCGCUGUGUCACCUCACCAGAUACGGACCCUCCACUCCUCUAACCUCCCCCAACUCUCUGUAUUUGUCUUCUGCAAGCUGCUGCAAUCAGUGCAGGCCUUGAUUGGACUUGGGCAGGAAUACCAAUGGCUGCUUGUUUAUUAGAUUCUCCACACUCAUCUAAUCAACGUUUAUAGCGUCCCCUCCUCUGGAUUGUCUCUGCACCAUCAGCUGUAAACGGUGGAGCUUUUAAAAAAUGGAAAACUCUUCCUGGAAAAGUGACCAUCAAAGUUAUAGCAGCGUGUGAAUAAGAGCGCACAGUCUAAUAAAAACUGCUGAGCUGGGCACUUCAGUGCAAUCAGGCGCUGGUCGCAGCUCAUAUACUCGUUAGAUGAAAACCCAAGAUGGAGGGAGAGUGAUGGAGCUCUGCAGGCGGCCGCAGCAAUAACUCAGCUGGGUGUGAAUCACGGCGCGGAGGCCUGGAGGUGGAGAAUGAAUCAUUAGGGUGGGGGAGACGGAGACUCUGGGGAUUUGGAUCCAUCAGACGGCGUUGCUUUGGCCCACUCUGCCGCUCCAACACCAGUCUGUCUUCCACGUUUCUUCCCAAAGAUCUUCUCUCCUCCUGUCCGUCGCUCCUCAUCAAACCGCGAUCACAACAUGAAUCCAACCUGAAUGCACACUCUCUCCUCUUGCCUGAGGAUUCGUAUUCCCUCCAUCUUCCCCUCCAUUUCUGCUCCAGAGUCUAACAGGAGGUCAAACUCUUCCUCACUCGUUUCUACAUUAGGAAUAUUUUUAAAUGUCCGGAUGUCCCAGAAAGUGCAAAAACGCCGUUAACAAGCAGUUAAAAUAUUAAAUAUUUGUGUUAGAGUAUUAGGUCUCAUACUAAAAAAAUUACAAUAAUAAAGUGAUAAUAUUAUGAGAAUAUAGUCGAAAUAUUAGAAAAUAGUCAAAUUUUCAUGAGUGGGAUAGAAAACUAAAGAAACUGAUGUAAUAUUGCGGUAAACGGAUAAAAACUCCUUUGAGUUGAUUAAUAAAAUAAUAUUUAAGUAAACAACUGUUAUCUCAAAGUUUCUAUUUAUGUGACCCGCAUAAGAAGCUAUGGCGGGCCAGAUUUGGCCCCCGGGCCUCAAGUUUAACAGAUUUUAAUGGGAUGCAGAGAAAACUUAAUGAAAAAGAGAAGAUAGGAUGAAAAUAAAAAGUGAUCUGUUGACGUUAGUUGCUGUUUUAGCAGUAUGAAUGCUAAAAACACAACCUCAGCCCGCUUCCUAGAACAAAAAUCCAUUAUGAGGAGCUUUGGAGACUUUCGGCUCCCCAAGGCAUUGACUUUGGACAAGCAGAGGUUAGAAGAAAACAGCCUUAUCUCGCAACACACGGGUGUUUGUUAAGGCUCCCCAUUAAGUCUCCCCCUAAAAUUUGCAUAUUAAUUGCAUUUUGGCUCUACAUUCCCCCUCCCUUAAAGGCUGCUGUUUAUAGGUGCUUUAUUUCUUUGGGAAGACGCAGACGUCCGCGGGGUGCUCACCUGCAACGGAGAACAAGAAUUCAAUUCUGCUGGAAAUUGGUUUAACUUGAAAGUAAUCAAGUUUUCAACCUCACACACCUUGAUUGAAGGUCUUGGAGGACCAGCUUGCAGGUGGAUUUGCACGCUCGGUAUGCCGACUUUAAGACAUUAAUGCUCAAACAUCUGGAAGCAAAUGUAGUGAUUGAUGAUUUUUGCUAAUGAUUAGAUGACCUGUCAGAAUCAAACAAGUUUUAACAGCAAAAAUGGCCCAAAUAGGACUGAAACGAUUCAUCGAUUAAUCAGAUUGUCAACUAAUUUAGUAAAUAGGAAUAUAGACAUUCAAAACAAGACCAUUUGCUGAAAAACAACAUAUUUAGAGCAGUAAUCAAAUCUGUACAUAAAUAUGUACAUUUUGCAAUGUGAAUAUGUUUUAAAACUCUUGAGUGGCAGAGUGGUUCAAAUUCACUGAAGAAAUGUUAUGUUACUGCUUUAUAUUUCCUAUUUAAAAGGGAAUUGGAUUAUCUUUAUAUCCAUAUUUCUAAUAUUGUUUAAGUGGUUAAAUUAAAAAGCUGUAAAACGUAAUUCAUCUCUAUCUAAUUGUCGAAUUGGCAAAAUAAUCGAGUACUGCAAUAAUUGUGGCUUAAACAUGAAGACACUUUCAAAUGAUGAUUUUUCUUACUGGGUAAAGGAUGCAAAACUAAACAACCUGGCUGGAAAAGUAAAUGCCAAAAACCUAAAAACGUGUCACCCUUGGUGACAAUUAAACCUCAAUAACCAAUGAAUUAAAUGUUCCAUUACAAAUGUGGACAAAACUUUGUCAAUAUUCUGCUAAUGUUUCUAUUAAAUAAGAAUUGCAAUUAAAAUCACACGUGAAAAAGUUUGUUCACGUCAUUAAAAAACUAACUGUGGCAUCCUCCUACCACUUCCUGUUGUCUUGUUUGUUGUUUCCUCCAGCAGUAACAUCCAGCUGCAGCUUUACUACAUUAAUUUUGAUCCGGCCGAAAACCCACCCCAUCCUGGCGCGAAAGCUUUUCAUCAAAAUUGCCGUGUUUACUUUUAGCAUAUUUAUUUUCGUGAUUUCAUUUUGCGCAUUUAUGUGGUCCAUGAGAAUCUGUAGCUUAUUUUGAACUCUUAUAUGAGUAA